rnacentral:lncRNA from 10 species
GGAAGACUCUGGAAGUAACAGCAACACGCAGAUAUGGGCACAGAUGGCAGCUCUGGCGGCAAGGUGCUCUACAAGGCCUGGCAAUAAGGAAGGGUCCAGUUACUCGCAUCCAGUGGUCUAGAGCAUGUUUGAUUAGGCAACUUUUAGCAGUCGUCCUCAGCUGUGCAUAUUAAAAUGGCUCCUUAAUUCAUGUAUAAUAUCUAGGUAUGUAGAAUUAAGACAUCCUUUUGAAUACCAUAUUUCAGAAACAACUCUUCUUUGGCAUAUAAAAUUUAUGGAACAAAAUGACAAACAGGGCUGGAAUCAGCGGUAUGUAGGUAAAUGUUUAACAACUGGCUCUGCAAGAAAACAAAGCUCUGAUUUGUAGUGUUUGCCAUUUUCCAUGGUGUAAAUACUCCCAUCUUGGCAAAGUUCAAGUUACCAACCAAAACUCAUUGAAUUGGAUUUGGGAAGAGAUGCACACAAUUGGCUCUUGUGGGAAGGUAUGUGGCAGUGCCAGCCAGCAUCAGCACACUGCUAGCUAAAAGAGCCAACAACAAAUCAUUUCCUGUGCCUUCUAGGACGUCUUACUUUUCCUAAACAAGUACAGAAUGGCUCCAAAAGGAAAAUAACACUUCACCUCACUAAAGGAGCUACAGCUGUUUUUAUUUUUAUUUUAUUUAUUCUAGUCAAAUAAAAGGAGCAAGUCAGGCACUUCUGGGCAACACUGUUGCAUCCUGGUCUCUUCACUGCACAGGACUGAUUUGAUUUCUACUUUGGGAUUCUGCUAAAGUCCGGAUAACUUUGGGGUGACUUGAUAAGAAUCUGU